AUGUCACUGCACUCAAUUUACCAACUCGGAUUUGAUUUGAUAUCUGUCUAUCUGUCUCAGGUGGACUGGGAAAGCAACGGCGGCCUGGUGAAGAAGCUUCCGUCCAUCCGUGAGGACGAGGAGGGCGACGAGGAGCAGAACUCUGUGUCCCGGGCCCCUCGCUCCCCGCUGCGUCUCAGCAGGGGCCUCAACUCGCCCCUGCGCUCCCCUCUUCUGCCGCCCAGGCCGUUCCGCGCUCCCUCUGAGCACUCACGGCCAGCCACCCUGCAGAUACCGGUGGUCAGCUUCAGCAGUGCGCCACCUGAGCUCAGCCCCAGGUUCGUGGACGGCAUCGAAACAGAGAGCAAUUCCACCUCAUCGCAGAAGUUCGAGUUCAGUCCCAGCCUGUCACCUACAGCGUCCCCCUCCCCAUACCCAGGGCUCCGGGAGCACUCUGAGAUCAAGCAGAGUGUGUCUAAAUUGACUGAGGAGAUGAACGGUCUCUCCAAACAAGUGUCCAAGCUCAGUGAGGAGCUGCAGGAAAUGACACGCCUGCUCAAGCCCCUCCUCCAAAUAGCAUCGCCACCAAUCCUGACCACCAUGAUGCCAAAUCUGACCCCACCCCCAAGCAGUGCCAGCCAGCUCUCAACAAGCUCCUGUCUCGUGUUGCCACCCCCCGCCACAUCCUGUCCCCUGCAGAGACCUGACACUCAUUCCCUGUUGGACAGUGGAGACAUAGAGGGUGUGGAUUUGCCAGGAUGCCUUCUCCCGACUACUCAUUCACCAAAAGGCCUAAUUCAUCAUCUCCAGCAUCGCCACAGACCCCGCCGGGGGGCAACUUCAAGGCCCACGCCCGGUCCAACCUCCCGUCACCCGAGGAAGGACUUGCUGAGGGAUCCCCGGUCCUCCAAAGCCUCCACGCAUCCUCCAGCAACGGGAUAUUUUUGCCCUCGCUGCAGGACCAGCCCCCCCUGGCCUCUCACACCCCUUCACCUUCCCUCUCAUUCUCCAUGUCCCUCUCCUCCUCGCCGUCCCUCUCCCCCUGCCAGGGCCCCCACCCGUCCCGACCCAGCAGCUGUGCCAGCAGAGGCCUGCUUCCCCCGCCUCCCUCCCAGGACACCCCUCCUCCUCCGUCCUCCCACUGCUCCGCUCCCCCGUCGCUCACGUCCUCCCCCAGAGACCUUCAGCUGA
rnacentral:lncRNA from 1 species